GAAAUGCGAUAAGUAGUGUGAAUUGCAGAAUUCAGUGAAUCAUCGAAUCUUUGAACGCACAUUGCGCCCCUUGGUAUUCCAUGGGGCAUGCCUGUUCGAGCGUCAUCUACACCCUCAAGCUCUGCUUGGUGUUGGGCGUCUGUCCCGCCCCCGCGCGUGGACUCGCCCCAAAUCCAUUGGCAGCGUUCCUUGCCCCCUCUCGCGCAGCACAUUGCGCUUCUCGAGGGCGGCUCCGGGACGCGAUCCAGCAAGAUGACCACCCUCUUUGACCUCGGAUCAGGUAGGGAUACCCGCUGAACUUAAGC
rnacentral:misc_RNA from 1 species